AACGAACGCUGGCGGCAUGCCUAACACAUGCAAGUCGAACGAGACCUUCGGGUCUAGUGGCGCACGGGUGCGUAGCGCGUGGGAACCUGCCCUUAGGUUCGGAAUAACUCCCCGAAAGGGGUGCUAAUACCGGAUAAUGUCUUCGGACCAAAGAUUUAUCGCCUUUGGAUGGGCCCGCGUUGGAGUAGCUAGUUGGUAGGGUAAAAGCCUACCAAGGCGACGAUCCAUAGCUGGUCUGAGAGGAUGAUCAGCCACACUGGGACUGAGACACGGCCCAGACUCCUACGGGAGGCAGCAGUGGGGAAUAUUGGACAAUGGGCGAAAGCCUGAUCCAGCAAUGCCGCGUGAGUGAUGAAGGCCUUAGGGUUGUAAAGCUCUUUUACCCGGGAUGAUAAUGACAGUACCGGGAGAAUAAGCUCCGGCUAACUCCGUG
rnacentral:rRNA from 1 species